UACGGAGGGUGCAAGCGUUAUCCGGAUUCACUGGGUUUAAAGGGAGCGUAGGUGGGCUGGUAAGUCAGUGGUCGAAAUCCCCGAGCUUAACUUGGGAACUGCCAUUGAUACUAUCAGUCUUGAAUACUGUGGAGGCUAGCGGAAUAUGUCAUGUAGCGGUGAAAUGCUUAGAUAUGACAUAGAACACCAAUUGCGAAGGCAGCUGGCUACACAUUUAUUGACACUGAGGCUCGAAAGCGUGGGGAUCAAACAGG
rnacentral:rRNA from 1 species